rnacentral:rRNA from 1 species
ACAUGCAAGUCGCACGAGAACUUCCACCUUCGGGUGGAUUAGUAAAGUGGCGCACGGGUGAGUAACGCGUGGAUAAUCUGCCUUCAAGACGGGAAUAACAUUGCGAAAGCGAUGCUAAUACCGGAUAAGCUCACGAUUUGUUUGAUUGUGGGAAAAGAUGGCCUCUGUAUAUGCUAUCGCUUGAAGAUGAGUCCGCGUACCAUUAGCUUGUUGGUAGGGUAAUGGCCUACCAAGGCUUCGAUGGUUAGCUGGCCUGAGAGGGCGGCCAGCCACACUGGAACUGAGACACGGUCCAGACUCCUACGGGAGGCAGCAGUGGGGAAUAUUGCGCAAUGGGGGAAACCCUGACGCAGCGACGCCGUGUGAGUGAUGAAGGUUUUCGGAUCGUAAAGCUCUGUCAGAUAGGAAGAAUAAGGUCUGUGUGAAUAAUGCAGUCCGAUGACGGUACUAUCAGAGGAAGCACCGGCUAACUCUGUGCCAGCAGCCGCGGUAAUACGGAGGGGGUUAGCGUUGUUCGGAAUUACUGGGCGUAAAGCGCACGUAGGCGGAUUGGAAAGUAUGGGGUGAAAUCCCAGGGCUCAACCCUGGAACUGCCCUGUAAACUAUCAGUCUAGAGUUCGAGAGAGGUGAGUGGAAUUCCAAGUGUAGAGGUGAAAUUCGUAGAUAUUUGGAGGAACACCAGUGGCGAAGGCGGCUCACUGGCUCGAUACUGACGCUGAGGUGCGAAAGUGUGGGGAGCAAACAGGAUUAGAUACCCUGGUAGUCCACACCGUAAACGAUGAAUGCCAGACGUCGGGGGGCUUGCCCUUCGGUGUCACACCUAACGGAUUAAGCAUUCCGCCUGGGGAGUACGGUCGCAAGAUUAAAACUCAAAGGAAUUGACGGGGGCCCGCACAAGCGGUGGAGCAUGUGGUUUAAUUCGAAGCAACGCGCAGAACCUUACCAACCCUUGACAUCCUCGGACCGCCAGAGAGAUCUGGUUUCCACUUCGGUGGCCGAGUGACAGGUGCUGCAUGGCUGUCGUCAGCUCGUGUCGUGAGAUGUUCGGUUAAGUCCGGCAACGAGCGCAACCCACAUCCUUAGUUGCCAGCAGUUCGGCUGGGCACUCUAGGGAAACUGCCCGUGAUAAGCGGGAGGAAGGUGUGGAUGACGUCAAGUCCUCAUGGCCCUUACGGGUUGGGCUACACACGUGCUACGAUGGCAUCUACAGUGAGUUAAUCUCCAAAAGAUGUCUCAGUUCGGAUUGGGGUCUGCAACUCGACCCCAUGAAGUCGGAAUCGCUAGUAAUCGCGUAACAGCAUGACGCGGUGAAUACGUUCCCGGGCCUUGUACACACCGCCCGUCACACCAUGGGAGUUGGUUCUACCCGACGACGCUGCGCUAACCCUUCGGGGAGGCAGGCGGCCACGGUAGGAUCAGCGACUGGGGUGAAGUCGUAACAAGGUA